rnacentral:rRNA from 1 species
UACGAAGGGUGCUAGCGUUGCUCGGAAUCACUGGGCGUAAAGCGCACGUAGGCGGUUUCUUAAGUCAGGGGUGAAAUCCUGGAGCUCAACUCCAGAACUGCCUUUGAUACUGGGAAACUUGAGUUCGGGAGAGGUGAGUGGAACUGCGAGUGUAGAGGUGAAAUUCGUAGAUAUUCGGAAGAACACCAGUGGCGAAGGCGGCUCACUGGCCCGGUACUGACGCUCAGGUGCGAAAGCGUGGGGAGCAAACAGG